rnacentral:tRNA from 1 species
UGGCUCAGUGGUGAGAGCAUUGGCCCAUGGACCGAAGAGUCCAGGGUUCAAAUCCCUG